CACGUAGUUAGCCGGGGCUUCUUACUCAGGUACUGUCAUUUUCUUCCCUGCUGAUAGAGCUUUACAUACCGAAAUACUUCUUCACUCACGCGGCGUCGCUGCAUCAGGGUUUCCCCCAUUGUGCAAUAUCCCCCACUGCUGCCUCCCGUAGGAGUUUGGGCCGUGUCUCAGUCCCAAUGUGGCCGGUCACCCUCUCAGGCCGGCUACUGAUCGUCGGCUUGGUGAGCCCUUACCUCACCAACUACCUAAUCAGACGCGGGUCCAUCUUGUACCACCGGAGUUUUUCACACCGAGGCAUGCGCCUCUGUGCGCUUAUGCGGUAUUAGCAGCCGUUUCCAGCUGUUAUCCCCCUGUACAAGGCAGGUUACCCACGCGUUACUCACCCGUCCGCCACUAAGUUUUGUCUCUUCCUUCCGAAGAAUUCCAACACAAAACCCCGUUCGACUUGCAUGUGUUAAGCACGCCGCCAGCGUUCAUCCUGAGCCAGGAUCAAACUCU
rnacentral:rRNA from 1 species